CAGACUAGCGAGAAGAAUGCGUGUGUUUAUGUUGCUUGUCUUGCUGGUGGUGGUGACAGUGAGCGUGGUGUUGGGGAUGAACCCAGAGCAUCACAGGGAUACCAGGAGUCCCCACUUGCUCCGCCUGAUCAAAGGAUUGAAAGUGAAGGCCCUGGGUAAAAAAUUUCUACUAGGAUGACGGCAGCUGAUGUGCGUCGUCGACUUCAGGAGUACUGAGAAGCAAUUCUGCUCUAACUCUCGUGUUUCCCAUGUACAUAACUGGCAAAAAAUUCCUGUGUUACUCUGAUAUAUAUUAAGACUUAUAGCAAUAAAUACAAUUAUUU